ensembl:lncRNA
ACACACACACGAAGAGAAAGAAAGAAGAAAAGUUAUUCUAAUUAAAUUCUCCAUUUCUGAUAUUGAUAUCUCAAUAGGAAUCUGUAGGCACUGAAAAGGAACUGUAUCCAGAUGAUACAGCUGCCUGGCUUCUCCCACCAAAGGUUGAUUUUGAUGGUCUGCUCUGGAGAGACACAGGGCAUUGAAGAGCUCAUUUUGAUGCCCACCUAGGGUAGAAUUUCCUGAACUAGAAUGCCUUUGUUUACCUAUAUGGAUGGUCCAACUGAUUUAAUCUCAAGUAAGAUCCUGAGCUGUCCCAAUUUUCACAAAUUCCCUCAGCUACCUAUACUACUGCUUAGGAGAAAGAAUUCUGAAACUUGACCAGGUCUACUCAUCCAUUGAAGUGUAAGUGUUCUUCCGGCUAUUCAUAUUUGACUCCAUAGCAGAUGGUAUCAACCUGUGAGGCUGCUUUCAGCAUUUUGCUUCCAUAUUCAGAAUGUCCUUGGACUCCUUAAAUACCUGUAGGUAUCAUGAGGUACAGUAUUACAGGUGGGCUCAAAGAAGGCAGGAUUACUAAAUGUUUGCCUGUCAGUAAAGCAAAACAAAGAACAGCACUGGGGUGUUUACUAAGGUCUUUAGAAAAGAAAUUUACAUUUAGAAAACAUUCAUCUUACACAGGUUCUUUAUGUGCAAAUUUAGCUCUCUGGCUCCUGAUUUUCAUUAAAUGUUUCAUGUGGGUGGAGAAUACUGUCAACAUUACAAAUAGAGUUUCUGUUUAAUUUCUUAAUAUAAUUUGUCAUCAAAUAAACUCCCAGAAGGAAGUUCUGACCAACCGGAUGGGACUUGAAGGAGAAGGAUGGUUGGUUUCUGCAACGCAAAUGAUUUCUAUUUUGAACAAGCAGGUGUUUGGGAAUGUAUGGGCCCAGUGACUUUGCUAGAACAUUAUGGGAUGCAAUUAAAUGAAUGUUCCCAGCUCAGAGACUCCCUGAUUCACUUUCUGCAUAAUGUAUCCCCUUGAAUCAGAUAGGGAGAGGCUCUUCAUGGAAAUGACCAUCUUCUCCCUGAACAGACUGCUCUGCCUGGAUGUCUCCUGUCAGACUACAGGAUUACACUGAUCUCCAGUGGUGCACUGCUCAAUGGAAAGGAGGGGUAGAUUCCCAUCACCUCCCCCCAAAUGAGAGUCAAGCUGAGCAGGCUUCAUGGCAUGUUAAGGGCUGUAGAGAAUCAAGCACAGUGUGUAAGAAGUGACACUUUGGGUUUAGAGCUAGGCAGAAAGGUAAGUGAGGCCAGGUCUUCUAGGCUCUGGAGGUUCUAGGCCUUGGCAUGGAACCAGGUAUCAGUGAUGAUAUCUAGCCUCCAUGGAAUAAAGCAUAACUAGUACAGAUAGCACAGUGGGGCUAGGAGACCAUUCCCUUCCAUCCACCUGAAUCUGGACAACAUCCCAGGGUCAUUCCUCCUUCCACUGUUCUAAGAAAAACAGAAAUAAAAUAGCAAAAACCCUAGCAAUCUCUACAGCUCCAGGCCAGAGCACAAAUGUAUUAGAUCCCAUGGCCAAAUUUAAGCUUUCCCCCACUCUGACCUUAUUAAUGCAGAGGACUCUAAUACUGAUUAUGCCCUAAGCAGGCUGUGAAGAGUUAACCUCUCAAUUGGGUUAUUUUGAGAAGUGAGUCUGGCUGAAGCCUACUUGCCAAGGUCAGAGUAACUUGCACCCAAAUUCCGUUCCCACAUCUAAAACUUUCUGACUAGAAGGGCAGUGUUCUAAUUACAACCAUAUAUUUUGUCUAUUCUGUUCCUAAUUGGAGAAUGCUUUGUCUUGUCCUUUAUGAGCCUUGUUUACAUUCAUUCACAUAGAAACUGCAUGUAGCUCGCCUUUACCCCAGUUGAUUGCCAAGAACAGUCAGUGCCUGGGACUGACCAGCACCUUUGUCGGUUAUACUGGCAUUGGUUGUCCUGGCAUCCCACUUUCUCUUUCUUAGUUCUGUCUCUUAGUAUAUUUUUUCCCCGGGCCUGCAUCACACACUGGGCGGG